ACAGAUAAAAUAAAUAUAGAGAAAUGCAAAGCAGCCCCUUGUGUAUCCCUUAUCCCCUCUCAUGGGGCUCUGCCUUCCCCCAAAAAAACCUCAAACCCAAUAGAAAUUUUAUUCCAUGACCACCUUCCCCUUAUUAACAUUUCAAAAAUAAUUUUUUUUUCAAGGAGGACGUGCCCUUUUAACCCACCCAUUCUUCAAGCAGGGUUAAACACAAACUCUUCAUAUUUCUUGUUAUCCCCAUCGCUUUUCCAGAAUUAAGGAGAAUUUUAAGGCAAUAAAACUCCUUACCAAGGUCUGAAGUAAGUUUUCCUUGUAAAAAAAAAAAAAAAAAAACAAAAAAAAACCAAAAAAAAUAAGAUUAAUUUAAAUUAUAAGACAUAAAUCUGCUGAAUUUAUUUCUCUGUGAAUAAAGCCUAGCUGAUACCAUGCUGCAUUUCUCUUUCCCCAGGGAUAAUUUAUAAUAUAACUGCACCACUCUGAUGCUAACGAGAGCAACGAGCAGGUGCUGAUGCCCAGAAAAAGCCCCUUGGGAGAAGGGCUUGGUGAAAACAGACUUAUACUAUGGGGAAAGAAUCUGUCUCCGCAUCUCUGGUAUUGGUGGUGAUAAAGGAAAAGGGUCGAUCGUAGCCCAAAAUCCCAAAUUCUGCCACAUCUGCAGGUUAGUAUGAAGCUAAAACAUCCCAUAACAUCUAAAAAUGGUAGUAACCAGAUCCAAAACACUGGAAUUUUAUUCUAGAAGAAAAGAAAAAUGACACUUACUAAUUUUUCUAUCACGUUCCUCUAAAAGAGAAAAGAAACAUCGGUCAUUAUUAAAAGUCCACCACGUUCGUGAGCCUCAAAUUAUCUUCCAAAUCCUAUUUUAAUUUUUAAACUGGUAAUUAGAAUUUGCAGUUAGGCUUUGGGUUGAAUUGUUUGGCCUUAAUUCUAGCCCAGAUUGGGUGUAUGUGGGGUGUAUGUGGGGAAUAAGCAUCUUUUCCCCCUAAAAUCUUGCAGUGAAAUAAAGACAGAAAGGAAGGAAAAUCACUCACCAAGCUCCGCAGUCAGAUUGUCUUAAAAGAGAAAAAAAAAUAAAGGCAGAUUUUCCCAAGGAUGGGGUAAAAGGACGGCAGGGAUGCUCCUACCCUUCCUUUGAUCAGAAAAUAAGGCAAAUCUGUAUCUAACACCCUACCCAUCAUCUGCAUCCCUUGCGACAUCUACCACGAGUGAUGGGACAAUGAACUGGAAAAAAAGGGGGAACUUUUGCAAAGUUUAAGGAAUUCUUGCAAAUUUUAAUCCCUCUCCCUCAAUGAAUAA
rnacentral:lncRNA from 1 species